AGGCGACGGGCUCGCUGUACUUUCGUUCCUUUACUUCGAUCAAAGAAUCGACGUGCUCGUUUGUACGUCCGCAUGUUGAUACACUGUUCCGCGAUGCAUGUUGCACGUUUUACAGGGAAACAAUAACGCGAAUCCGUACAUGGUAUACGUGGAUCGUGGCGAGUCCCCCCCCCCCCCCCACGGGAAUGCCGGGACAUUUGGUGUUCGAUACGCGUAUUCGUUGAAUAGUGCUUCCAUUUGUAUUCGAACUGCGUUCCUGAAUCCUUCCAUUCGAGGUCCAAGCUGCGCUUCAUAGUUUGCAAACUGUUUACUUACGUACUGGCUAUACACCAUGAGCAUAUGACAUCUGGAAGUACGUGCGAUAUAUUUGAUAAUCGUGACUCUACAUUACUUCGUGAUCCUUAAGAAGGUGUGGCUAAUAUCAGUGAUUGACUUACUGAUCGAUUGUGUUUUUGUAAAAUUUGCACCUGCAGUGUUGUUGGUUAUGGAGAAACUUGGAGGAGGAGGAUGGAGGACGAGAGAAAAUACGAAUAUCGAGUGGUUCAGAAAGUUUUAAAGUCGGAAAAAUACGAGGAUAAUAUAUGAAUUUUGAUAAGUUUGGAGAGCUCAUGAAGUAUUUGCCUAUCAACUUGCUUGACACGAUGAUUUCUGAUCGUAUGGCUAUUAAGCAACUUUUUGUCCUCGACUUUAGGUUUCAAUGGGAAAAAAGAUUUAACAUUUAGGUUUAAACAGAUUUAGUAAUUCUCAAAAACAAUGGUUAAACUGAAUGAACUUUAGGAAAAUCGAUGCAGGAGAUCAUGGCGGAUUAAGGAACGGAGAAAAGGAGGAGGAGAAAGUAAUCAGAGUGGAAUCUUGGUUUCUAUGUUUGCUACGAAAAGUUGAAGCCCCUUCGGAUGAUUGAAUUAAUUAGAGGCUUUUGUAAGAUCGGAUACUUUUAGCUAAAUUUUCUUUCUUAGACACGUGGAAUUGUAGAAAUUGCUGAUCGCAAGUUUUUAAACUUUACCAAAAUAUGAUACCAGUAGAAUUUUAAUACUCAAACGUGCAUGUUUGGUGUUAUAGAGGUAUUUCUUCUUUUUUGCUUUAUUUCACUGCUGAGGAAAUGACCUCGUAUGCACAAAAUGGUAUUCUGAUAAAUUGCCUGCAGCUGAACGAGACAUGGAGCCUCUAAAGCCAUUUUUCCCCUUAAUACAUUGAACGUCACAUCCUUCAGAAAUAGGUGACACUUACUUUCGUCCAAAGAUAAAUGAGCCGAAAGGUGCAUCGAUCACAAAAAGUUCGUAAUGACCCGAAUUUUGUUGACCGAGCGUCAUUUUAAUAUCUGCGAACAUGAAAAAGUGGGGCAAUCGCGUAGAAAAAUCUUUAAAAAGUGAUGAAAUCGUUCAUAUUUCUAUAGUUUGACAUUAUUGAUUAUUAUAUUAUUAUGAUAUUAACUAUUGAUUUAUACGCGCGAAAUAUGAUUUCAUCAAAAAAUUGAUUGCAGUUUGCGAUACUUCAUCACACAAGACGUGUUCAACUUUCUCGCCACAAAAUUGUCAGAUUAAUUAAUUAACACAUUUUCAUUCAAAUACACUCUACAAAAUAUCUCAGUACAAUUAUUACACGUACAAAAAUUCUACUAACCUUCUCUACAUUUUUGGCUUAACUGACAAAAAAAAGCAGCCAUGCCAGUCGUUGUCCCAAUCCCGAAUCCAUUGCGCGAGAAAUAAAAAGGCGAGCAGGCAAUGAUCUCGUAAAUAAGCGCGGAGACAUUGCUACUUUCUCGAAUCGACUACACGCAAUAAAUUGCCAGCAACAAUGGCCGAACGAGUUGCAAGGGGACACAUAAAUUGGUAUCAAGCUCUCAGCGCUUAAUUCAACGCAACAUUCGUACGGGCCUUCCAAUCCCACGCGAUGUUCACCUGGAGCACACGAUGUCCUUGAGACAGCGAUAUUGCGUCGAGUCGCCGGUCCAGACAACAUUUAACGAUAACGAAACGCGAGCAAAAGGUGUGCACACAGAGUGUCCACCCGUGCCUCCUCUAAAUCGUUGGAACAGGUACACCAAGUGACCACCUAUAGGAACGAACCAAUCUAUUUGUCGUCCGUUGCUAACCUCCACCCUUUCUUUUCUAAAACGGAAAAAACGAACGAAGAUUCGUUAAUAUGUGGUCUCAGGGACGCGAAGGGACGCGACGUUGCGAUUUUUUCGAAGCAUGUUGCAGUGUUAUUAGAGCCGGUAUCACUGGUUACACGCACGUGAUUCACGGUUACCAUUAGCAUGGUUUUUACCACAGCCAUCGUAUGGUGGACACGUUUUCUUCCUUUUGCCUCUUUCAAUCACGGCGAGUUUAAUAAGGCGCCGUUGAACAUGCGAAUUUCGCGAAUACGCGAGAUGAAAAAUCGAGAAGUCAUUAUCAGCCUGUGAAACACGGCGUGUUCAACGUAAUCGUACACUCCCUCUCAUAAGUAUCGGACAUUGGAACAAGUUAUUGGUGCAGUACACCUGCUGAUGUAAUAUAGAACGUGAUAAUUAUUCCAGAUUAUCAAGGAGACUGCUAAUUGGUCAAAACUAUAUGAAGAUUACAGGUGAAAGAUAUGAUAAUUAUAAGUUUGUUGAUUUUUUGGUUUUAAUGUUACUUAAUAGUUAAAAGCAUAUUUUUACACCUUCUGUGCGCAAGUUGCAUCGUUUAUGUCCACGUCUAAUUGUUUUACUAUUCCAGGUUCUCAAGAAAUCUGUAAGGAUUCUAACAUACUAACAGCCUCUACUGUAUCGCACAAACGAUUUUUGAGUCAAGCGUUUAAAUGAUAUUUCAAGGAAAAUAGAAAUUUAGUUUGAAGAAAUAUAUGGAUGAAAUCUCACUGAGUGCGUAAAUGGUCCAGGUUCCUAUGAAUCAUGGGCUACGACAAGUUAAUAAAUUACUAUUAAUUUUAUUUAAUAUUUCGCAAGUCUCCCAAUACUUAUGGACGGAGGUGUACACGCGAGGAAAAACGAUGAAUAGAAUAAUGUUUUUAUAAGUUGUUGUCUUGCAACGUUUCGGGGACAUCGUGAGAGUCCACUGUUUACGUGGAGCAUAAGUAUAGUAGGUCGCGAUUGAACGAUCUGGCUUCUUCACUCGAGAGCACGUAUAAUUAGGAUCGUAUUACAUGCGUACUGAUCUUGUCGUUUUGCUUACUCGUUAUCGAGCACCGUUGACAUCGUUCUCCAGGAGGGAGGAUUAGCGAUGUAAAUUUUCCACGAGGCCAGACAAAAUUAUCGAGGCGCGAUAUCGUCAUUUGGAUGAAAUGAUAAAUGAAGACGAUAUAUAUAAUCGACACGACUUUGAGAACAACCAGCAUUACCAGAUAGUGAAACAUUUGUUGUGUCGAUGCUUAAUUAUUUGGUUCGUGUCGUGGAUAUCUUAAUCAUUAAUUAAUUAAAAGAUAGGAAUAGCGGGUUUGAUAUUUUAUUAGCUUGAAUAUUGACGUUUUAUUAGGAUGGAUAAGAAUUUGGGUGAAAAUGGUAUUAUGAUAAAAUAUAUGUUCUGAUGACUUUGAAUACUUUUUUUAUAUAUGUAAUAAACUUAUUUAGGAAUAUCGAACAUCAAGAAAAUUGUUUUACAGAUAAAAAUAAGACUAAUACGUGUGAUGAUUUAUGUGGUAGUUAUUUAGAAAUAUUGAAUAUCAAGAGAAUUGUUUUACAAGUAAAAGGAAGAAUAAAAUGUUUGAAAAUGUGAUAAUUUUGUGUGACUGUUUACGGUGGGAAAUUGAAUAUGCAGUAUUGACAAAACUGAAAUGCGAGGACGUACUGAGUGUUUGAGAUUAGAAUGUUAAAGAAGAAUGCAUGGUUACUGAAGAUUUUGGAUGGACAUGAUUGAAUGUAUCCUGGAAACAUUUGCACAAUUUCAUUAAAGUAGCUAAUGAACAUCGUAUAAUGUAAAAAGGAGGAAUUUGCUUGAGCUGCGUACCUGAAUUAUUAGUUUCUGAACCAUAAUCGUUAAGUUCUUACAUUGCGUUGUAUCUCGUUAUGUUGUACUCUCAUAUUUCAAUAUUAUUUCAAUACGUUUAAUAAUAGUUUUAAUAAUCAAAGUAAUGAAUAUACCAAAAGAGAUUAAAAUUCAAUAUCUAAAACCGUCUUCAAACAAGGAUCAAUAUGGCUGAUAAAUUUAUGGAGACCCUAGAAUGUCGUCACGCGAUUACUAGGCAUAAAGAGAAUUCCUAUUUAACUGGAAUAGCAGGACAAGAAUCCACGUUUUACUGGACUGGAAUUCAAAGCAAUCAAAGCAUCCGGGUCGCGGCGUGGAUUCUUUUUCCCUCCUAAUCUCAAUAUCGAAAUGACUACCAUUCACGACACAGGCGGACAGAUUUUUGCGUGAUAUUACGACGAUUGCACGAGGGGAAAAUAGAACGAUUUCUCUGAAAGACGCGACCUGAAUUCGCGGAGAAACACUAUCGUGGAUAUCCUCGAAUGGAAUUCGAGGGACUGACAAUGAAAUUUGCUCCCGGAAUCGAGCGCCAUUAAAAGUGAUCGUUGCUUGUUCGACAGCCGUGUAACCUGUGGCGCGUUGUAACUCACGUACGUCGGUAAUAAUUUUCUUGCACCACGUAAAUCCGACCACGAACCACUUUAAAGAUUUGUUAGCCGUCUCUGCCAUUUUGUCAGAGGCUGGUAUUGUUUUGUGAACGGAAGCCGCGUUGAAAUACCUCUGAGGUUAAGUCCUAUAUCUUUGUUCGGACGUUUAUUGCAUCGAUUUCUUUAUCCAAUUGAAGAUUAAAGUUAAAUUAACGAAAGCUGUUAUUUCUGAUUCCUUUUUAGUCAAUUUAUAGGAUUAAAUUCUGUUGAAUCCACAUUAAAUGGAAUAACUUUAUUAUGUUAAAUUUAACUUAAUAAUAAUAAUCUAAACGUAACUUAAUUUGUUGUUAUUUUAUUUAGGUAAUGUUCGUUGAAUAUAGCGAUGUCCACUUCUAGCAUUUUGAUCUUGUGUACUGAUAGGACGCAUGUUUCUUUCUUCAAACAAUAGAAGAUUGAUAUAACGUUUCAUUUAAAUAAUUAAAGAGUACGUCCUUUGCUCUCCCACGACAUAUUUUUCAAAAUUUCCAACCAUUUUAUUGUUCAAUAUUUCAAUAAUCAGUAAACUGUAUUUAAAAAAG